CAAGAAGGAUGGGUACAAACAAGUCCAGACAAUGAAGACUACAAUAAAUACCUAACUCUUCAAUGUCCAGACACUGAUGAACAUCCACAAGCAUCAAGACCAUCCAGGAAAACAUGACCUCGCCUAAUGAACUAAAUGAAGCACCAGGGACCAAUCCUGCAGAGACAGAGAUAUGUAACAUUUUAGACAGAGAAUUCAAAAUAGCUGUUUUGAGGAAACUCAAUGAAAUUCAAGAUAACACAGAGAAGGAAUUGAAGGUUCUCUCAGAUAAAAUUAUCAAAGAGAUUGAAAUAAUUAAAAUGAAUCAAGCAGAAAUUCUGGAGUUGAAAAAUGCAACUGACAUACGGAAGAAUGCAUCGGGGUCUCUUAACAAGAGACUUAAUCUUUCAGAAGAAAGAAUUAGUGAGCUCGGAGAUAGCCUAUUUGACAAUAUACAGUCAGAGGAAGCAAACUAAAAGAAAAAGAGAGACAACCCAAAUAAUUAAAAUCAGAGAUUUUGAAGGAAUACUUCCUAACUCAUUCUACCAGGCCAGUAUUACUGUGAUACCAAAACCAGAUUAAGACACAUCAGAGAAAACUACAGGCCAAUAUAUCUGAUGAACAUUAAUGCAAAAAUCCUUAGCAAAAUACUAGCAAACCAAAACCAACAACACAUUAAAAAGGUCACUCAUCAUGGCCAAGUAGAAUUUAUUCCAGGGAUGCAAAGAUGCUUCAACAUACACAAAUCAAUCAAUGUGACACAUCAUAUCAACAGAAUGAAGGACAAAAAUCAUAUAGUCACUUCAAUUGAUGCUGAAAAAGCAUUUGAUAAUAUUCAGCAUCCUUUCAUGAUAAAAAUCCUAAAAAAUCUGGGUAGAGAAGAAACAUAUCUCAACACAAUAAAAGUCAUAUAAAACAGACCCACAACUAGUAUCAUACUGAAUGGGGAAAAACUGAAAGACUUUCUUCUAAGAUCUGUAGGAAGACAAGAACGCUCACUUUCACCUCUGUUAUUCAACAUUGCACUGGACGUCCUAGCUGGAGCAAUUAGACAAGAGAAAGAAAUAAAGAACAUUCAAAUUGGAAAGGAAGAAGACAAAUUAUCCUUGUUUGUAGAUAAUAUAAUCUUAUAUUUGGAAAAACCCAAAGACUCCACAAGAAAACUCAGCACUGAUAAAUUCAGUAAAGUUGCAGGAUACAAAAUCUACAUCUAAAAAUGAGUAGCAGUUCUAUAUGUCAACACCAAGCAAGCUGAAAAAGAAAUUAAGAAAGUAAUCCCAUUCACAAUACCUACAAAUACUGUAAAAUGCCUAGGAAUUAACCAAAGAAGUGAAAGAUCUCUACAAUGAAAAAUGUAAAAUAUUGAUUGAAGAAAUCAAAGAGGACACAAAAAAAUGGAAAGAUAUUCCAUGUUUAUGGAUUUGGAGAAUCAAUAUUGUUAAAAUAUCCACACUACCCAAAGCAAUCUACAGAUUCAUCACAAUCCUGAUCAAACUACCAGUAACAUUCUUCACCGAAAUAGAAAAAAUAAUCUUAAAAUUUAUAUAGAAUCACAAAAGACCCAGAAUAGCCAAAGCUAGCUUGAGCAAAAAGAACAAAACUGUAGGAAUCGUAUUACCUGACUUCAAAUUAUACUACAGAGCUGUAGUAACCAAAACAGCAUGGUAUUGGCAUAAAGAUAGACACAUAGACCAAUGGAACAGAAUAGAUAACCCAGAAACAAAUACAUACAUCUACAAUCGACUCAUUUUCAACAAAGUUGCCAAGAACGUACACUGGGGGAAAGGACGGUGUCUUCAAUAAAUGGUGCUGGGAAAGCCAGAUAUCCAUAUACAUAAGAAUGAAACUAGACUUCUAUCUCUCACCAUAUACAAAAAUCAAAUCAAAAUGUACUAAAGACUUAAAUAUAAGACCUGAAAUUAUGACACCAUGGAAAGAAAACAUUAGAGAAACUCUCUAGCACUGGACUGGGCAAAGAUUGCUUGUGUAAUAUCCACAAUCAUAGACAACCAAAGCAACAAAUGGACAAAUGAGAUCUCUUCAAGUUAAAAAGCUUCUGCACAGCAAACAAUCAACAAAAUGAAGAGGCAACCCACAGAACUGAAGAAAAUAUUUGCAAACUACUCAUCUAACAAUGGAUUGAUAACCAGAAUAUAUAAGGAGCUCGAACAACACUGUAGGAAAAAAUAUAAUAAUCAAAUUAAAAAUAGACAAAAUAUAUGAAUAGACGUUUCUCAAAACAAGGCAUUCAAAUGGCAAAGAGGUAUAUGUAAAGUUGCUCAACAUCGCUAAUUAUCAGAGAAAUGCAAAUCAAAACUACAAUGAGAUAUCAUCUUACCCCAGUUAAAAUGGCCUUUUUCCAAAAGACCGGCAAUAACACUUGCUGGUGAAGAUGUGGAGAAAAGGGAACCCUUAUAAACUGAUGGUGGGAAUGUAAAUUAGUGCAGCCACUAGGGAGAACAGUUUGGAGAUUCCUCAGAAAACUAAAAAUAGAGCUACCAUAUGAUCCAGCAAUCCCACUGCUAGGUAUAUACCCAAAGGAAAGGAAAUCAGUGUAUCAAAGGGAUAUCUGCAUUCUCAUUUUGUUGCAGCACUAUUCACAAUAGCCAAGAUUUGGAGGCAUCCUAAGUGUCUAUCAACAGAUGAAUGACUAAAGAAAAAGUGGUACAUACACACAAUGGAGUACUAUUCAGCCAUAAAAAAGAAUAAGAUCCUGUCAUUAGCAACAAC
ensembl:lncRNA novel transcript